rnacentral:piRNA from 1 species
UGAACACCCCUGCUGUAACCUGU